AGCGAACGCUGGCGGCAGGCCUAACACAUGCAAGUCGAACGAACUCUUCGGAGGUAGUGGCGGACGGGUGAGUAACACGUGGGAACGUGCCUUUAGGUUCGGAAUACCUCAGGGACACUUGUCCUAAUACCGAAUGUGCCCUUCGGGGGAAAGAGUUAUCGCCUUUAGAGCGGCCCGCGUCUGAUUAGCUUGUUGGUGGGGUAAUGGCCCACCAAGGCGACGAUCAGUAGCUGGUCUGAGAGGAUGACCAGACACAUUGGGACUGAGACACGGCCCAACCUCCUACGGGAGGCAGCAGUGGGGAAUCUUGCGCAAUGGGCGAAAGCCUGACGCAGCCAUGCCGCGUGGAUGAUGAAGGUCUUAGGAUUGUAAAAUCCUUUCACCGGUGAAGAUAAUGACUGUAGCCGGAGAAGAAGCCCCGGCUAACUUCGUGCCAGCCGCCGCAGUAACAC
rnacentral:rRNA from 1 species